AACUUAGUGGUAUUUAGUACAAAGUUGUGCAACCAUCACCACUAUCCAUUUUCAGGACUUUUUCAUCAUCCCAAAUAGAAACUCUGUGUGCUAGUUAUUAAACAAUAGUUCCCCAUUCCUCCUUUCCUGAGGGAGGGUUAUUUUUAAGCUGUUUUGGUGCCCAUAAAGUCGGUGGCUAUGUUCACACCUCUUUUUAAGCACUUUAACAUUUCAUUUAUUUAAAGAAUAUUUACUAGGCAACUCUACUGAAUGAAAUAUUAGGAAUAGAUUAUCCAAUAAAUACCAAUUCUUUUCGCAAAGGAGCUUGCAAUGAAUUGAGAAAGAGACAUAAAUAAAUGAUGUCAGUGCAGUGUGGUGAAUGCUAUGAUAGAGAAAGGCAAAAAGAAAACUGGCAAGAGAUCUAGCUUUUGUAGAACACAAACUGUCAGACUGCACCAAGUACUCACCCACUUUGUUUCUCUUCACAACAGUCCUGUGAAGUGGCUACCAUUAUCACAUUUUACAGGUAAAAAAUCUGAAACCUCAAAUGAUCAUGCAAGUUGCCCAUGGAUACUCAGGGUAUAGUUUAGAGAGGUCAAGCACUAAACAAAUAAGGAGUUAUGGGUUCUUAGCCAGGCAUGGUGGCACAUGCCUGAGGUGGGAGGAUCUUUUGAGCACAGGACCUGGAAGCUACAGGGAGCUAUGAUCGUGCCACUGUACUCUAACCUGGGUGACAGAGCAAGAUCUUGUCUCAGGAAAAAAGUUAUGGAUUCUAAUCCAUCUAAUCCAGACUGUAUAAUUGACAAACUUCGUGCAUUUAGGUUUUUUCCUACAGUUCUGUGGGCCUAAUUUCCCUCUAUAGAAUGGCAGAGCUAUACUACUACAAGACGCCUUAGGAUUUUUUUCUUCAAGAAGAUGGGAAGGAGUGAGUGGACAUUGAAGAGUUCUCAUCACAGAUCUAAAGAAGAAACAAACUGAAGAAAAUUCUGCACCUUUAGACUCAGUGUCAGGAGUACCCCAGAACAGAGAUCCCAUUAUGCUGAGUGGAGUGGGGCUUUGGGAUCACAGAUAUGAGACCUCUAAAUAAAUCUCAGGCAUUAAGAACUGCUUUGGAGACAGGCUGGACUUGGUCUGAUAAGUUAAUAUCUUCCACAAAAUUUAUGUUUUCUGCCUAAAUUUUUCGUUAUUCUUAUUCCCUAUUAAGACAGUUAACCAGCUCUACUUUCUAACCCCAGGGAAGGACUGUAGCAGGGUGAUUUGUACUCAGAGCUACUUGCCUCACAGACUGUAUGCAGGGAACAGAGGGAAAUGCAGUACAACAAGAGUGAGAAUGUAGAUCUUAAAUAAGAGUCUUCCAGACUGGGAGGGAGAGAGUAGAAGGCAAUGGAUGGGAUUCUCAGAAGCAGGAUCUGAAUCCUGGUACUGCCAAUGAAGUAGAGGUGAAAAAUCUUCAGAUACAAAUGCACACAAGGCUGCUGUAGGCAGGCAGGAUGGUAGCCUCACAGAUGUAGCAAAUAUGUCUAGAUCUAGAUCUCCACAAAUACAUAGUAAAAUAUGAUGUUUCCAGGUCUUCACCAAUGCUGUGCUUUCUGCUUGGAAAGGUCCCCUCUGUUUGUCUAUUUGUUGACUCUCUAUUGUCAAAGCAAAAUUGUACCACACAAAGUGAAACAGGCAAGGAAGACUUUCUUCAAGGCUACUGCAAUAGGGAGUGAGACCAGAACGAAGUCUGAACUCAGGAGGUAUUUUAAGAGCUGAGGUGAGCUAGUAGAAAAAUACUGGAGGAUGUUUGAAGGAGAUUUAUCAAUGGGAUAUGUCUAGCAAAUUGAGUUAUUUAAGUUUGCAAAUGGUUUUCUUGGUGAUUAGUUCACCCGAGCUUACUAAUUGUCUCCAUGGAAGUUAGGCUCUUAUUCUCCCACAGAGACUGGAAGAUAGGGCACAGUUUCCUUGAUGAUUACAUUUCAGUGGAAUGGCUCCAAGGUCCUUGAGAAGGACAGUUCUGAGUUGUACAAUUGGCAAGGGGCUUUUUAAAAGAUUUAUAUCUCAAAGGGGGCAGAUAAAUAACUUACAAAUAUUCUAAAGUCAAUGUUCUAAGAAGGAGAGGUCAAGGGCCUAGAAUCAGAAAGAAACAUGUCUAAAGUUUAGUCAAGCUGAAGGGAAUAUUAAAGCCAUCUUGUAAAUUCCAUCUUUAGUCAUAGAAAAUGUGGCCCACUUUCUGAUUCUCUUUCCUUCUCCUAUACCCAAUAUUGUAUUCCAACAUCUACAGAAACUCUGAUUCUUGUUCAUACAUUCAACUCCAAUGUAUGGAACUAAACUGCAAGUAUCAAUUUAUAUAUUUAAGACAUUUAAGGAAGAGACAAUGUCUUUUUUCAUCACUUAGUUCAAUGAUGAUUGCAUGGUUGAAAAUGCAGAAUAAAUAUUUGUUAAAAUAAACUAAAUCUUAGUAACUUAUACAGGCUAUUUUGACUACUCUCACUAUUCGACCUUUCCGUGAAACUGGCCAAUUUUAUCACUUUUCCCCCAUCCAUCUAUCACAUAUAACUUGUUUUCCUGUUUGUUUGCUUUGUUUUGUUAAUUUGAAUAGUUUACAAACGUCCUUAAUUUAAGUGACCAGAAUUCUAAUGUUAUGUACUACUACUUAGUUUAAGCUCAGUUCAAAGACUGGGUGAUUUUUGGCCAAAUUCUCACCAUUGUGACAGUAAGUUUUCUACUUUCUCUUUUAGUAACACCCAUGGAUGGUAAGAACAAAGAAGAACCUUCAUGAGUGCUUUGAUGGUAGCUCCUGGAAAAGUAGUUUGAGUAAUAAAGUAGCUCCCAAUUGCUCAUCAGCUGAAAAACCAACUGCCCUUUAUAUAGUUCUACCAUUAUUUCUAUACAGGCAGAGCCUUUGUUUUCACAUGGUGAAGGAAAACCUUGAAGACAUGGUUUGCAUUGAUUUCAAAUUCCUCUUAAAAUGACUCUAACAGGAGGAAAUAUUCUUUUGGUCUGAGUUAUUCUGAAUUGUAUCUGUUUUGAUUACAUCUACCAGACAAUUUUAGUUAGCUCUUAGCAGUAAUCUUAUUUAGCCAUCCAGAUGGCUGAAAAUACCAUGCCAACAUCCUUUUCCUAUUGUAUUGUUGACUAGACACAGCCUAUUACCUUGAAUUUCAGUUGGCUCACAAGCACACCCAAAACAUGGAGUAUAGUGUAGUUGAUAUUUUAUAUCUGCCAAGUGCUUUAUUCUAUUCCUGAGAUUAAUUUUAGCAAUUGUGGACCGACAGUUAUCCUUGUUGGUCACUAGACUAGUGUUUUGUACACAGCACCAAUGGUUUAUUAUAUGAAUCUCUUCACAUAAAAGAGUUAAUAUGUGUCUUCAAACUCUUAUUGGCCAAUUCUCAGAAAGUCAGUUAUGUCCAGACCACCAGAUGACAAGAAAAUAGCAUCAUAUACAUGUCUAAUGAUAAAGUGCAUUUAAAUUCAUUUUGUUCUUGCUAGAACAUAAGAACAAUUUCUAAGUACAAAGAGGGUAGGUUUUUCAAGAUAAAACAUUUUUCUUAUGACCCACUGUUUUGCAAAUACCUCUCCCCCAAGUCCCUUUAUUUUUUCAUUGCCUUGUUUUUCUCAAUUACAGAGUAUUUUUAAUAUGGUUAUCUGAUUUAUUCACAUGGGGAUUGAUAUGUCUGCUAGGUUGAAAAUAAGUUGUAUGAUAAAAAUACAUAAGAUGGACUCUCAAGGGAAGAAUAUAUAAGACGUUUCUUUAGCACUUUUAAGUCUGAGUCUGUGAUUGGAGUCUUGUUUGUGAGAGGUUUGUUAUUUAUAUUAGUUUUUAAAAUGUUUCCUCCUAAAUAUCUUCUGUAUAAGAAAAAGAAAUAAGAGUACACAUUUAGAUGCUUUAAAAAACCCUGCUCUUUUGUAGCUGACAUCUUAUUAAUUAGGUGUGACAUUAGGCUCUGAUGCUGGGGAAACAUUGCCAUUAGUAUACUUUACUAAGGCUAGUUCAUGGUGUUUUAUAUCUUUGGAUGUCCUUCAAGUUUAAGAUUUUUGUUUAUAUCCAUAGAGGUUUGGAAUGAUGUCAUCGAAGAAUUGUAUUUCUAGUUCCCUCAUGAGAAAGGUCAUGUCUCUUCAAGGCCAUGGAAACAUGAUUGAAUUUGCUUUAAAUAAAUUACAUUCUGUUAAGAUAGCUCAAACUGCUACAGUUAACCACUUCUCAAUCUGUAUAUCUGCUGUAAAGGAAAACAAAAAAAGAAUAGUCUAACAAAGAUAAUCAUCUUGCUCCAGUUUUUCUCAAGGAGAAAUUUCAUGGUAUGCAUGCACAUGGAAAUCAUUAAAUAAAAGAGACAAAAUGUAAUAUAUUUAGUAUCAGUCAUAAAAGAACUGUUUUAUAAUAAAAAGUCUUCCCUGAAAACAAAGCCCUUACCCACAGAUGAGAGAGCUAGGCUGUCUAAGAGAUGUCAAUUUUCUUUAAGCCUGAUUCUAGACAGAUACAUGAGCAAAUUACUCCUCUUCUUAGCUGUGCUAGCUUGGAAAGUUAUUUCAGGUCAGUUGACUUUCAUGUUCAUCAGUGUCCUCAUCUGUAAGAAGGGAAUAAAACCACCUGUCUCUUAAGGCUGAUGUGACAAUUAAAUAAGACAUUCUAUAAAGCACUUAAGAAAAACAGUUGGUGCAUAUUACAUUCUCAGUAAAUACUAGCCAUUAUUCAUUUUGUGAAUAAUCAGGGGAGGAAAGGUCAGAGAAAAUAGGUGAAAUAUCUACUGGAGAAAUAUGAGAAUCAGAUCAAGAAAGUUUCAUGGUUCUCUUAGCUCUCGAGUUGACUGUGGGUAACAACAUUUCUUCUUUCUUCUCCACACAUUUUCCUUGUCUUUCCUUUUCAAGAAACCCACAGGGGUGUUCCACCCUCCAAAUUACAUUCUUAUUUUCUUAUUAACAACAGGUUUCUAGGACCCAGCCUACUUUCCUCUCCUCUUGGAAACUGCCACUAACAUACUGUCUCUGAAUGUCCUGUUUCUUCCAAUCUGCUAGAAUGGGGGCCUAUUUCUACAGUAUUUACAUUCAUCAUAUUCCUACAUUUUACAAUGAAGAGUAUGCAAAUAGCAAUUAAAGAACCUCAUUAACUCAAUUACCAUUUUGAAGAAAUUGCUAAGAACAUUUAUCAAUUAUUAAUAAACUGGGAAAAGAAUGUGGCAUCCAGAAUCAGAAAA